UGAAUAAUAUGUCGGCAGUGUGUCCGUAGUCCGUGCUGCCAGCUGCCAUCGCGGUCAAGGGCCAAAAUAAAAUAUCAGAUGUUGCAAAUUCCUGUUUGUGUUAGAAACCGCCCCUGGCCUGGCCACGUGCACUAAAGUCCAUAAGCGCAUCAUAAGCGCAAAGCGCAUCGCAUUCUCAUUCUACAUUCUACAACUAGAACCAGAUGGAACCAGAGUUAUUAUUAUAACCGCGUGGUCUCUGUCUCCGUUGUUAAUCUACAUACACACUUAUAACAUAAUAUUAAAAUAUAUCUGCGGUUAUAUUACUAUCUGCCGCCUACUUGAUUUGAACAGUUUUAAAAAUAAAGUCAAGGAGGUGAUAUAAGUAACUGAACGUAACCCGUUGGAAAACUUGUGCGAAGUUGACUAUAAGGUCAAACGACAUAGAUUUAUUUUAAUACAAGAAAUACUACGAUCCGUAUUAUUGUUUUGUAGUUUUGACUAGUCAUAGUAGGGCAAUGAACUAGAUGAAAAUGAAGCCAAAAUCCUUAAACUUUGCCUAUG
rnacentral:lncRNA from 1 species